AUGGCCACCAGCAGCCCGCAGCUCGUGAUGCUCGUGUCGUGUUUAGCCGCCCUUGCCGUCGCCGCCGGCGCCGGGGAAGUGGAUGGUAGGCCAAAGGCCCGCGGGUUUGUGACGGUGAGCGGGGCGCGGUUCAUGGCGGGCGGGCGGCGGUUCUACGCCGACGGGUUCAACGCGUACUGGCUCAUGUACAUGGCGUCGAACCCCGCGGACCGGAGCAAGGUGGUGGACGUGCUGGAGCAGGCGUCCCGCCUCGGCGCGACGGUCGUCAGGACCUGGGCCUUCAGUGACGGCCAGGGCAGCGACCGGCCGCUGCAGAUCACCCCCGGCGUGUACAAUGAGCAAGUGUUCGUGGGACUAGACUUCGUAAUAGCGGAAGCGAAGAAACGAGGGAUCUACUUGAUCCUGAGCUUGGUGAACAACAUGGACAGCUUUGGCGGGAAGAAGCAGUACGUGAAGUGGGCGCGAGACCGGGGCCACUACCUUGGGUCCAACGACGACUUCUUCUCUGACGCGCUCACCCAACAGUUCUACAAGAACCACAUUAAGAGGAUGAUCACGCGAGUAAACACCUUCACGAGGGUGGCGUACAAGGACGAGCCGACCAUCUUCGCGUGGGAGCUGAUGAACGAGCCUCGCGUCCCAAGCGACCUCUCCGGAAAGACAAUGGAGCGCUGGGUGGCGUCGAUGUCCGCGUACGUCAAGUACGUCGACCCCAAGCACAUGGUGGAGAUUGGCAUGGAAGGGUUCUACGGCGAGUCCACGCCGGAGCGCAAGCGGUUCAACCCGGGGCAGGGGUACACCGCCGGCACCGACUUCGUCUCCAACAAUCGCAUCCCCACCGUCGACUUCGCCACCAUCCACGUCUACCCCGACCAGUGGAUGCCGGGGUCGAGCAGCCAGGCGCAGGUGGAGUUCACCAAGAGGUGGAUGGCGUCCCACAUCGAGGACGCGGGGAAGGCGCUGCGGAAGCCGCUGCUGGUGGCGGAGUUCGGCUGGUCCGCGCGCUCCGGCGGCUACACGGUGGCGGCGCGGGACGGCUACUUCCGCAUGGUAUACGACGCCAUCUACGCUUCCGUGAAGGGGAACGGGCCGUGCGCCGGGGGGCUCUUCUGGCAUGUCAUGGCGCCCGGGAUGGAGAGCUGGACGGACGGCUAUGACGUCGUGUUCGAGCGCAGCCCCACCACCGCCGCGGUCGUCUCGCAGGAGUGCGCCAAGAUCGACAGAUUCACGCCCGCUGUCUAG
rnacentral:rRNA from 1 species